rnacentral:rRNA from 1 species
UACAGAGGUCUCAAGCGUUGUUCGGAUUCAUUGGGCGUAAAGGGUGCGUAGGCGGCGCGGUAAGUCGGGUGUGAAAUCUCGGAGCUUAACUCCGAAACUGCAUUCGAUACUGCCGUGCUUGAGGACUGGAGAGGAGACUGGAAUUUACGGUGUAGCGGUGAAAUGCGUAGAGAUCAUGAGGAAGACCAGUGGCGAAGGCGGGUCUCUGGACAGUUCCUGACACUGAGGAGCGAAAGUGUGGGGAGCGAACAGG